UAUACAUGCAAGUCGAGGGAGAUUGUUGGAUUCGUCUGACAUGAAACCGGCGCACGGGUGCGUAACACGUAUGCAACCUACCUUUAACUGGGGUAUAGCUCAGAGAAAUCUGAAUUAAUCCCCCAUAAGACUACGACAUGGCAUCAUGAUGUAGUUAAAGCUCCGGCGGUUAAGGAUGGGCAUGCGGUACAUUAGCUAGUUGGUGAGGUAAUGGCUCACCAAGGCUACGAUGUAUAGGGGGUCUGAGAGGAUGAUCCCCCACACUGGUACUGAGACACGGACCAGACUCCUACGGGAGGCAGCAGUAGGGAAUAUUGGUCAAUGGACGCAAGUCUGAACCAGCCAUGCCGCGUGAAGGAUGAAGGCCCUAUGGGUCGUAAACUUCUUUUAUUAGGGAAGAAAAAAUGGGAUGCGUCCUAUACUGACGGUACUUAAUGAAUAAGGAUCGGCUAACUUCGUGCCAGCAGCCGCGGUAAGACGAAGGAUCCAAGCGUUGUCCGGAUUUACUGGGUUUAAAGGGUGCGUAGGCGGAAAAUUAAGUCAGUGGUGAAAGCCCGCAGCUCAACUGUGGAACUGCCAUUGAAACUGGUUUUCUUGAAUAUAGCUGAGGCAGAUGGAAUAUAACAUGUAGCGGUGAAAUGCUUAGAUAUGUUAUAGAACACCGAUUGCGAAGGCAGUCUGCUAAACUAUUAUUGACGCUGAGGCACGAAAGCGUGGGGAGCGAACAGGAUUAGAUACCCUGGUAGUCCACGCCCUAAACGUUGAUUACUCGCUGUUGGCGAUAUACUGUCAGUGGCUAAGCGAAAGCAUUAAGUAAUCCACCUGGGAAGUACGACCGCAAGGUUGAAACUCAAAGGAAUUGACGGGGGCCCGCACAAGCGGAGGAGCAUGUGGUUUAAUUCGAUGAUACGCGAGAAACCUUACCUGGGCUUAAAUGU
rnacentral:rRNA from 1 species